UUGACCAGGCUGGGACUCUAUUCCUUGGAGCGCAGGAGGAAGAGGGAUGACCUUAUCGAGGUGCAUAAAAUCAUGAGAGGAAUAGAUCAGGGAGACGCACAUAAUCUCUUGCCUAGAGUGGGGGAAUGGACAUAGGUUUAAG